GGGACACGUGGUAUCCUGUCUGAAUAUGGGGGGACCAUCCUCCAAGGCUAAAUACUCCUGACUGACCGAUAGUGAACCAGUACCGUGAGGGAAAGGCGAAAAGAACCCCGGCGAGGGGAGUGAAAAAGAACCUGAAACCGUGUACGUACAAGCAGUGGGAGCACGCUUAGGCGUGUGACUGCGUACCUUUUGUAUAAUGGGUCAGCGACUUAUAUUCUGUAGCAAGGUUAACCGAAUAGGGGAGCCGAAGGGAAACCGAGUCUUAACUGGGCGUUAAGUUGCAGGGUAUAGACCCGAAACCCGGUGAUCUAGCCAUGGGCAGGUUGAAGGUUGGGUAACACUAACUGGAGGACCGAACCGACUAAUGUUGAAAAAUUAGCGGAUGACUUGUGGCUGGGGGUGAAAGGCCAAUCAAACCGGGAGAUAGCUGGUUCUCCCCGAAAGCUAUUUAGGUAGCGCCUCGUGAAUUCAUCUCCGGGGGUAGAGCACUGUUUCGGCAAGGGGGUCAUCCCGACUUACCAACCCGAUGCAAACUGCGAAUACCGGAGAAUGUUAUCACGGGAGACACACGGCGGGUGCUAACGUCCGUCGUGAAGAGGGAAACAACCCAGACCGCCAGCUAAGGUCCCAAAGUCAUGGUUAAGUGGGAAACGAUGUGGGAAGGCCCAGACAGCCAGGAUGUUGGCUUAGAAGCAGCCAUCAUUUAAAGAAAGCGUAAUAGCUCACUGGUCGAGUCGGCCUGCGCGGAAGAUGUAACGGGGCUAAACCAUGCACCGAAGCUGCGGCAGCGACGCUUAUGCGUUGUUGGGUAGGGGAGCGUUCUGUAAGCCUGCGAAGGUGUGCUGUGAGGCAUGCUGGAGGUAUCAGAAGUGCGAAUGCUGACAUAAGUAACGAUAAAGCGGGUGAAAAGCCCGCUCGCCGGAAGACCAAGGGUUCCUGUCCAACGUUAAUCGGGGCAGGGUGAGUCGACCCCUAAGGCGAGGCCGAAAGGCGUAGUCGAUGGGAAACAGGUUAAUAUUCCUGUACUUGGUGUUACUGCGAAGGGGGGACGGAGAAGGCUAUGUUGGCCGGGCGACGGUUGUCCCGGUUUAAGCGUGUAGGCUGGUUUUCCAGGCAAAUCCGGAAAAUCAAGGCUGAGGCGUGAUGACGAGGCACUACGGUGCUGAAGCAACAAAUGCCCUGCUUCCAGGAAAAGCCUCUAAGCAUCAGGUAACAUCAAAUCGUACCCCAAACCGACACAGGUGGUCAGGUAGAGAAUACCAAGGCGCUUGAGAGAACUCGGGUGAAGGAACUAGGCAAAAUGGUGCCGUAACUUCGGGAGAAGGCACGCUGAUAUGUAGGUGAAGUCCCUCGCGGAUGGAGCUGAAAUCAGUCGAAGAUACCAGCUGGCUGCAACUGUUUAUUAAAAACACAGCACUGUGCAAACACGAAAGUGGACGUAUACGGUGUGACGCCUGCCCGGUGCCGGAAGGUUAAUUGAUGGGGUUAGCGCAAGCGAAGCUCUUGAUCGAAGCCCCGGUAAACGGCGGCCGUAACUAUAACGGUCCUAAGGUAGCGAAAUUCCUUGUCGGGUAAGUUCCGACCUGCACGAAUGGCGUAAUGAUGGCCAGGCUGUCUCCACCCGAGACUCAGUGAAAUUGAACUCGCUGUGAAGAUGCAGUGUACCCGCGGCAAGACGGAAAGACCCCGUGAACCUUUACUAUAGCUUGACACUGAACAUUGAGCCUUGAUGUGUAGGAUAGGUGGGAGGCUUUGAAGUGUGGACGCCAGUCUGCAUGGAGCCGACCUUGAAAUACCACCCUUUAAUGUUUGAUGUUCUAACGUGGACCCGUAAUCCGGGUUGCGGACAGUGUCUGGUGGGUAGUUUGACUGGGGCGGUCUCCUCCUAAAGAGUAACGGAGGAGCACGAAGGUUGGCUAAUCCUGGUCGGACAUCAGGAGGUUAGUGCAAUGGCAUAAGCCAGCUUGACUGCGAGCGUGACGGCGCGAGCAGGUGCGAAAGCAGGUCAUAGUGAUCCGGUGGUUCUGAAUGGAAGGGCCAUCGCUCAACGGAUAAAAGGUACUCCGGGGAUAACAGGCUGAUACCGCCCAAGAGUUCAUAUCGACGGCGGUGUUUGGCACCUCGAUGUCGGCUCAUCACAUCCUGGGGCUGAAGUAGGUCCCAAGGGUAUGGCUGUUCGCCAUUUAAAGUGGUACGCGAGCUGGGUUUAG
rnacentral:rRNA from 1 species